GGAGGGUUGCCAGAGUGGUUGAAUGGGCCGCACUCGAAAUGCGGUAUACCGGAAACGGUAUCACAGGUUCGAAUCCUGUACCCUCCGCCA
rnacentral:tRNA from 1 species